GGCUGUCUUAAGCCUUUCCCUAAUCAACUGUACAUUCUCUAAACCAUCAAACACCAAGUCAGACCCCACCACUGCGGCCUCACCGACUUUAAACCAGCUAAUGGGAGAUCUACAUCUCCUCCCAUAAAGAGCCUCAAACGGAGCCAUCUGAAUACUGGAGUGAUAGUUGUUAUUAUAUGUGAACUCAAUCAAAGGUUAGUGAUCAUCCCAAUUGCCCUUAAAGUCAACAACACAC
rnacentral:lncRNA from 1 species